CACAGAGGUGCUUGCUCCUUGGGUGACGAGUGGCGGACGGGUGAGUAAUGUCUGGGAAUCUGCCCGAUGGAGGGGGAUAACUACUGGAAACGGUAGCUAAUACCGCAUAACGUCGCAAGACCAAAGAGGGGGACCUUCGGGCCUCUUGCCAUCGGAUGUGCCCAGAUGGGAUUAGCUAGUAGGUGGGGUAAUGGCUCACCUAGGCGACGAUCCCUAGCUGGUCUGAGAGGAUGACCAGCCACACUGGAACUGAGACACGGUCCAGACUCCUACGGGAGGCAGCAGUGGGGAAUAUUGCACUAUGGGUGCAGCCUGAUGCAGCCAUGCCGCGAUGUAUGAAGAAUGCCUUUCGGGUUUGUAAAGUACUUCAGCGAGGAGGAAGGGGUUGUGGUUAAUAACCGCAAGGAUUGUCGUUACUUUGCAGAGAAAGCACCGGCUAACUUCCGUGCCAGCAGUCGCGGUAAUACGGGGGGUGCAAGCGUUAAUCGGGAAUUACUGGGCGUAAAGCGCACGCAGGCGGUCUGUCAAGUCGAAUGUAAAAUCCCCGGGCUCAAACCUGGGAACUGCAUCCGAAACUGGCAGGCUAGAGUCUUGUAGAGGGGGGUAGAAUUCCAGGUGUAGCGGUGAAAUGCGUAGAGAUCUGGAGGAAUACCGGUGGCGAAGGCGGCCCCCUGGACAAAGACUGACGCUCAGGUGCGAAAGCGUGGGGAGCAAACAGGAUUAGAUACCCUGGUAGUCCACGCCGUAAACGAUGUCGACUUGGAGGUUGUGCCCUUGAGGCGUGGCUUCCGGAGCUAACGCG
rnacentral:rRNA from 1 species